UUGAUUAUCACGAGGCAAGAAGAAAGCUGCCACUUGCAGAGCAGCAAACUGAUCUUCAGUCAGAUGCUAAGGCUGACUCUGGAAGGCCACCAAAAAGAAAGAUCAAGUAAGAAUUUUGUGACUCUAAAUGAGAAUCUAAAUCUGAGUGUUUUAGUGUUACUGCAACUUCUCAGCACUGCACUUUUCUACCAUUUAUUGCAUAUAUCCUUGCAUCUCGAGAUCAUUUAUACAUGUUAAAUUGUUGGUUGUUGAUGUCUUGUUUUAUGGGAAGCCUAGUUACAGUAAUAGGAAAUGCUGGAUAUACACAGUCAAUUAUUACUUUGCCAAAUCAAUGGGCAUGCCACAUACUUUGAUGUUCAAACAUGUAAUGUAAGCUGUGUCCUUGUUUAAACUUACUUCUUUGUCCUCUGUUGUAUUUAUUGCAUGUUUGUCUCCAAAGGCCAAGUAGGUACAUGGAUAGCUAUGAAAGUGAGGAGGAUGCCUUCAUCCCAAAAAAGAGGGCACUUCCAAAAGCCCCCAAAUCAUUUCAAAGAUACAUGAUACGCCCAUCCAAUGGUGCAACGGAGUGCAUUGCACUCACCCAGGGCUCAUCAGAUGGAAGAUCUACCACGAUUUCAGAAUAUCAGGGUAACAACCCCCUUGAGACAUCACUUCGCCAGGCCAUUGAGGUGGCAAAUUAUAUGGAGCCUCAGCCAGCAAACACCCCAGGUCAUCAAGGCCAGGCUGUGAGGGUGUGCCCUGAAACCCAGGCAGCUCCAAUCUGGGGGCAGAAUGACCUCUCAUCGAGGCAACGCCUCAAAAAUUCAGCUGUCUGCAGUCAGAUGUGUGGAUCUUUGCUUCAUGACUUGCUCGUGAAGCAAGAAAUCAUAAUUGAGCAGCAGCAGAACAUCAUAAGAAUGGUGCAAGACCUUCAUACAGCAAUGCACAGGACGACAAAUGGGUCAACUAACAUGGAAAGGCACAAUUCUUACUUCCCCCUCUGCAAUAUCGAGCAGCUGAUGGCCCUGGAAAGAGACCUGCAGUCUCUACCUGGACUGAAAAAGGAACUGGUAAACUGCCUUUGA
rnacentral:lncRNA from 1 species